rnacentral:rRNA from 1 species
ACGCUCGACACCUACGGGAGGUAGCAGUCGGGAAUAUUGCGCAAUGGAGGAAACUCUGACGCAGUGACGCCGCGUGCAGGAAGAAGGUUUUCGGAUUGUAAACUGCUUUAGACAGGGAAGAAAAAGGACAGUACCUGUAGAAUAAGCUCCGGCUAACUACGUGCCAGCAGCCGCGGUAAUCUGAGCGGGCUGGCAAGGC